GGCUCUUGUGUCCAGGUUCCACUGGGCAGCCUCACACAGAGCUGUUGGAAGUCUCUCCAACCAUGGCCUGGGUCUCUUUCUGCCUCCUGCCUUUCAUUUUCUCCACAGGUCUCUGUGCUCUGCCUGUGCUGACUCAGCCCCCGUCUGCAUCUGCCUCACUGGGAGCCUCGGUCAAGCUCACCUGCACCCUGAGCAGUGAGCACAGCAACUACUUUAUUCACUGGUAUCAACAGAGACCAGGGAGGUCCCCCCAGUAUAUAAUGAAGGUUAACAGUGAUGGCAGCCACAGCAAGGGGGACGGGAUCCCCGAUCGCUUCUCAGGUUCCAGCUCUGGAGCUGACCGCUUCCUCACCAUCUCCAACCUCCGGUCUGAGGACGAGGCUGACUAUCACUGUGGAGAGAGCCACACCAUUGAUGGCCAGUACGGGCUGUGGGGAGAGGCCAGAACAGCCCAGGCAGGAAAAGGACCCUGAGAGAGGGGCCAGGCUGGGAUGACCGCGUUCACUGAGUGCCACUGCACCCUGUGUCCCGUCCUGGGACUCUGACUGAGGAGGAAUGUGAAUCUUGGCAUGUCUCCAUAAUGUAUGAGAACUGUAGUUGUGCGAAUCCUCAUUAGCACUUGAUAUCAUUGUCAGUUUCUAUUUAAAGUCAUUCUAAUAGAUCUGUAGUGAUUCUCA